rnacentral:lncRNA from 1 species
CCGGGCCGGGCCGGGCCGGGCGCCUGGCUGCGUCUCGGGGACGCCGAAGAUCUGGGCUGUGAAAGCAGCAGGCCGAACCUGGAGAGCCCAGACGGCAAGUGUCGCGUCAUGCGCGAGCUUCCUCGAACAACUGAUGACACGCACACAUUGACAUGCGAGGAAGAAAUGGAGCCUCUUCUUAAAAGGACACGAGUCUCCACUCACUCCAUCCACUGUCCCUGGGCGCUCCCCCAGUUUGCUCGCUAUGACCCGCGGGCAGUUUAACAAGCAAAGCACUUAGUCUAUGCCAGGCACAUACAUUAAUCCAUUCAAUGACAAAGGCUAGAAAGCAUAUAAAGCUUCCAAAAAUAAUCAGAGGCUUAAGUCGUCUCCCCCUGCCUUCUGCCGGUGGAUUUCUCUUGCAAUCACUAAUUGCUUUUAUUUCUAGCCUUGAGUUAAGUGGUUAAAAUUUUCUUUGCAAAUACAAAAAAUAUUCAAAUGGCAGUAUGAAUUCUGGAUUACGAGGACAAUGUGCUCAGUGAUAACAGCGACUGGUUAGGAACCGUCACAAAGUGCUGUCUACUGCCUCGCCUCCCAUCAUGGUCCCCUUUUACUGAUCAGAUGCCGAACAAGUGGCAGAGAUAAGACCCAAAGCUCGGCUCCUACCAGGAAAGGCAUACCUAACCCGUUUCCUACUGCUGCCCUAUAAGCUUUCUAGGAAACAGGAGGGCAAUUAACAGCUACAUCAAGGCUUGUACCCAGUGUCUUCGUGGAAGGAAAGAUGUCAACCCGGGGCGUGGUUGUACACCGAGACUUCUGUUCACUUUCCUUACUGCUGAAUUAGAGAAAUAAUUUAAUGCAGUCCUUACCAUUUCGAAUCCUACUAAAUUCGGUUUGAUACUUAUAAGGUGGUAGACUUGAGUAAGAUUCAAAUAGACUCAAUUAAAUGGUCCUAUAGAAAGCCAAUUCUAGGGAGUGACCUUACGAGACCAGUGAAGCAGAGAGCCAAUUCUUGUCGGACUGGAGACCCACAGUCCAGGUGAAUUUACCUAAGAGAGGCUUGCAAGUGCUGUCCUCAGUGCCCUUGCCUGGGUGUAAAAUAGCAGAGACCGA